GCAUGUUUGAUUGAUACUGCAGAUUUUUGAAUUUCUUUGUUACUAUUAUCCAAAAUAACAUUAAUUACAAGUAAUAGAAUGUCCUGAAUGGUUGUUCUAUUUCCUUUCAUUAUUGAAAUUUUCUUGAUGUGCUUCUGAUAAUUGUCGUCUUUUUACUGAAUUAAUUGUCAUCUUUUUAGGUGUACCCAAAAAAAUGCACCAGCACUGAAUAGUUUCCUGUAACUGCAUGACUAGCCGAAGUGAUCAUGAUGAGAGUUCUGUGAUAAUGUGACGGUCUGCCAGGAGGAACAGGUGUACUGCAAUCAGCUGCAGGAACCACCAGCCGGUUAUUCUGUAGGCAAUAAUUCCCAAAACUGAAGGCAGCCUGAGUGAGCCGAACCUACUGUUUCUCUAUUGAUCCCUUGAACUAUGGCUCCUCAUAGUCAUAUCUGUAGUCCCCCCCCCCCCCCCUCCC